CAAAGACUAAGCCAUGCAUGUGUAAGUAUAAACAACUUGUWCUUGUGAAACUGCGAAUGGCUCAUUACAACAGUUAUGAUUUAUUUGACAAUGAAGAAGAAUGAAUGAUGUCUUUACUACAUGGAUAGCCGUAGUAAUUCUAGAGCUAAUACAUGCGAGUGUCUUUAGUUUUGGUCUGGUGUGUCAAAAGCACUUGAGCAGGAUGGGGCACGAUAAUUAAGAUCCGACUUGUGAAGGAAGGAUGGUAUUUAUUAGAUCGAAAACCAAUAGCAGUGGUUGAAAUCUUUGUCCAUGAGACAGGGGAACCUACUGUGAUGAUUGAUUGAUGAAUCAUGAUAAAUGUCGAAUUGACUCCCAAUACAAAGGGGGGUUGUCUUUUGUCAAGGGAUUGGCGGGGAUGAUCUUUCUCGGGAGACGAUGUGUCAUAUAAAUUUCUGACCUAUCAACUUUUGAUGGUAGGAUAGAGGCCUACCAUGGUAUUGACGGGUAACGGAGAAUUAGGGUUUGAUUCCGGAGAGGGAGCCUGAGAGAUGGCUACCACUUCCAAGGAAGGCAGCAGGCGCGCAAAUUACCCAAUCCCGAUUAUCAAUUGGGGAGGUAGUGACAAAAAAUAACAAUACGGGGUGUCUAAUGGCAUUCUGCAAUUGUCAUGGUUCUAAUGUAAAUGCUUAGAAGAGAAACGAUUAGAGGCCAAGUCUGGUGCCAGCAGCCGCGGUAAUUCCAGCUCUAAUAGUGUAUACUAAAAUUGCUGCAGUUAAAAAGCUCGUAGUUGGAUUUUGAAAUCUUAGACGUUGCUGCAGUUGACACCCGCUGUUAUAAAGGGGCUCGAAAGGGUUUACUGGCAGAGAUGGGUCACUGUGGUGGACAGUAUUGUCUUCUCAGCUUAUGCUUUUGUUUUUUCACUCUUUGCAAAAAGCUGUGCAAACAGUUAAUUUUUGUGAGAGGAAAGGGGGGGUAUAAGUGUUAUAAAGUAUGACUGUAAUGGGUUAUACUUUGUGCCGAUGAUUCUAGUGAUAAAAGCUUUCUUCUUAUGAUAGGGAAGGACACCUCUGGCAAAACAGAAAGGACCUUUUACUAAAUGGAGAGGCGCUAGAAGGCACUGGGAAGAGGCUCUGUUGUGGUUAUAAUGGACUGCAAUGGGGUAAGGUUAAUGAUUCGGAGUUGUCGAGGAAGCACUUAAAUGAUGUUUGUUUUCGAUUAAGGCUUAUGUGGAGACAUGUGGGCUGAAUUCCGGAGAUUUUACUUUGAAGAAAAUGGAGUGUUCAAAGCAGGCGUUUGUUUGCCUGAUAAGGGUAAAGAAAGAUCGCAACUGAACACAUUAGCAUGGAAUAAUAAAACAAGACACUUGAUUAGGAAUGAAAAGGGCUUUGAUGUCAAGCAAGGCUUGUUGCUGUUGAGUAAUAUCGACAGUGACCAGGACUAAUUAUCUAGCUCUAUUGUUGGGAUAGAUAUUUGUAUUUUAUUGGUUUAUGAAAGAGGUGUAAUGAUUAAGAGGGACAGUUGGGGGUAUCUGUAUUGCAUUGUCAGAGGUGAAAUUCUUGGAUUUAUGCAAGACAAACAAGUGCGAAAGCAUUUACCAAGGAUGUUUUCAUUAAUCAAGAACGAAAGUUAGGGGAUCGAAGGCGAUCAGAAACCGCCCUAGUCUUAACUAUAAACGAUGCCAACUAGGGAUUGACGGGAUGAUAUCUGUCUGACUGCUGUUUUUAAAAGGCGGUGAGAAGAGGAUAUUGCUUUUUAAUAAAACAGGAUAUGUGGGAGUAAAUGGUGGCGAGACGGGAAACCUACCGGCUUGCCUUACUUGUAAUUUUUCUGUUUUUUAUGAAAGUAAAAAAMAGAAAAGGCCACAUAUUCUUUAAGCCCUGCCAGCACCUUUAGAGAAAUCGAAGAAGUCUCUGGGUUCUGGGGGGAGUAUGGUCGCAAGUCUGAAACUUAAAGAAAUUGACGGAAGGSCACCACCAGGUGUGGAGCCUGCGGCUUAAUUUGACUCAACACGGGGAAACUUACCAGGUCCAGACACGGGAAGGAUUGACAGAUUGAUAGUUCUUUCUUGAUUCCGUGGGUGGUGGUGCAUGGUCGUUCUUAGUUGGUGGAGUGAUUUGUCUGGUUAAUUCCGAUAACGAACGAGACCUCAACCUGCUAAAUAGGAUGAUGAUUUAUGAUUCGCGUGCUUUGUGUCUGUUGGUGUGUCUUUGACUUUGUUGUUUUGUGCCUUGGCACAUUGAUGGAGUUUGGAGAUGGACUGGCAGAUAUUGAAGGAUGUGGAUGUAAAAAUUUUAGGAUAAUUCGCUAUGCUUAUAUGAGCUAGUUUUUGAUGGAAGCAUCAAGCAAUUGGUGUUUUUUGUUUGAGAGCUUGGCUUGUAUAAGUGAAUUAUUGAAAUCAUUAUUUUGAAAUAUAUUUAGUAUGAUUGUCUCUGAGGAGAAAUGAUGAGUUUCGGCUUGUUGUUUCUUUUUGUAGAGGGGAUUAUACUAAACCUGCUUAGAGGGACUACCAUGGUUGCACAUGGGGGAAGCAUGAGGCAAUAACAGGUCUGUGAUGCCCUUAGAUGUCCUGGGCCGCACGCGCGCUACACUGAUGAAGUCAACGAGUUGUUGUUACUGCCCCUUUGAAAUUAAAGGAUACUAGUUGUGCAUUCUGUAUUUCAAGGCCUGUAAGAGGGUUUUUUUGAUGCAGAUGUAAUUUGACUUGUAUUCUCAAAGGGAUGGUGAUUUCCUUAUCCGAAAGGAUUGGGUAAUCUUGUGAAACUUUAUCGUGAUGGGGAUUGAUCUUUGUAAUUUUGGAUCAUGAACGAGGAAUACCUAGUAAGCGCAAUUCAUCAGAUUGCGUUGAUUACGUCCCUGCCCUUUGUACACACCGCCCGUCGCUCCUACCGAUUGAAUGAUCAGAUGAAAUGUUUGGAUUGGUGGGUUGUAGGAAAGCAUGUAGUGUGUUAUGAUUUCGGUUGUAGUGCGCUAUUUUUUCUGGAACCUAGUGAGAAGAACAGUGAAUCUUAUUAUUUAGAGGAAGGAGAAGUCGUAAC
rnacentral:rRNA from 1 species